CCUACGGGAGGCAGCAGUGGGGAAUAUUGGGCAAUGGGCGCAAGCCUGACCCAGCAAUGCCGCGUGGGUGAAGAAGGUCUUCGGAUUGUAAAGCCCUUUCGACAGGGACGAUGAUGACGGUACCUGUAGAAGAAGCCCCGGCUAACUUCGUGCCAGCAGCCGCGGUAAUACGAAGGGGGCUAGCGUUGCUCGGAAUUACUGGGCGUAAAGGGCGCGUAGGCGGCUCUGUUAGUCAGGCGUGAAAUUCCUGGGCUCAACCUGGGGACUGCGCUUGAUACGGCGGGGCUAGAGGAUGGAAGAGGCUCGCGGAAUUCCCAGUGUAGAGGUGAAAUUCGUAGAUAUUGGGAAGAACACCGGUGGCGAAGGCGGCGAGCUGGUCCAUUACUGACGCUGAGGCGCGACAGCGUGGGGAGCAAACAGGAUUAGAUACCCUGGUAGUCCACGCCGUAAACGAUGUGCGCUGGAUGUUGGGAUCCCUAGGAUCUCAGUGUCGUAGCUAACGCGAUAAGCGCNCCGCCGNGGGAGACGGCCGCGAGUAGAACGACGAAGGUAAGUAGUUAGGNGUGAGAGUGCCGACGGCGACGACGAGGGAGGAGG
rnacentral:rRNA from 1 species